ACAAACUUGGUCAUUUAGAGGAAGUAAAAGUCGUAACAAGGUCUCCGUUGGUGAACCAGCGGAGGGAUCAUUACCGAGUUAUUACUCCAAACCCAUUGUGAACCUUACCUUCUAUUUCUGUUGCCUCGGCGGUGGCUCCGCUGGCCUCCCUCCCUCGUAAUAGGGGGAGGAGCCGGCGCCCCGCCGGCAGCACCAAACUCUUGGAUUUUAUAGCGGACUACAAGCUCUGAUUACUAUAAAGAAAAUGAAUCAAAACUUUCAACAACGGAUCUCUUGGUUCUGGCAUCGAUGAAGAACGCAGC
rnacentral:misc_RNA from 1 species